CAGUAGCCGCGGUAAAACGGAGGGGGCUAGCGUUGUUCGGAAUUACUGGGCGUAAAGCGCACGUAGGCGGCUUUGUAAGUCAGAGGUGAAAGCCCGGGGCUCAACCCCGGAAUUGCCUUUGAGACUGCAUCGCUUGAAUCCAGGAGAGGUGAGUGGAAUUCCGAGUGUAGAGGUGAAAUUCGUAGAUAUUCGGAAGAACACCAGUGGCGAAGGCGGCUCACUGGACUGGUAUUGACGCUGAGGUGCGAAAGCGUGGGGAGCAAACAGGAUUAGAUACCCCCGUAGUCCCUGUCUCUUAUAC
rnacentral:rRNA from 1 species